CCAAUAGCGUAUAUUAAAGUUGUUGCAGUUAAAAAGCUCGUAGUUGAACUUCGAGAUUCGUCCAUUGGUCAGGCUUAACUGUCUGUACUGGUGUGUCGGAUUUCUACCUUCUGAAGAACCUUUAUGCCAUUAAUUUGGUGUGUUGGGGAAUCAGGACUGUUACUUUGAAAAAAUUAGAGUGUUUAAAGCAGGCUAACGUCUGAAUACAUUAGCAUGGAAUAAUGAAAUAGGACGGUACGGUUCUAUUUUGUUGGUUUCUAGGAUCGCCGUAAUGAUUAAUAGGGAUAGUUGGGGGCAUUAGUAUUCAAUUGUCAGAGGUGAAAUUCUUGGAUUUAUUGAAGACUAACUACUGCGAAAGCAUUUGCCAAGGAUGUUUUCAUUAAUCAAGAACGAAAGUUAGGGGAUCGAAGACGAUCAGAUACCGUCGUAGUCUUAACCAUAAACUAUGCCGACUAGGGAUUGGACGAUGUUAAUUUUUUAAUGACUCGUUCAGCACCUUACG
rnacentral:rRNA from 1 species